AAUUAGCCCUGAUUGCAAUGAAAAUCUUUUUAUUUUUCUUUAAAAAUAAAAAAUUGUAAUGGAAAGCAGGAAAAUGG
rnacentral:sRNA from 1 species